rnacentral:rRNA from 1 species
CAGCCGCCGCGGUAAUACGAGGGGGGCAAGCGUUGUUCGGAAUUAUUGGGCGUAAAGGGUGCGUAGGCGGCUUGACAAGUCUUGUGUGAAAUCUAUGGGCUCAACCCAUAGUCUGCACGGGAAACUGUCGGGCUUGAGAAUGGGAGAGGUGAGUGGAAUUUCCGGUGUAGCGGUGAAAUGCGAAGAUAUCGGAAGGAACACCUGUGGCGAAAGCGGCUCACUGGACCAUUUCUGACGCUGAUGCACGAAAGCUAGGGGAGCAAACAGGAUUAGAUACCCCCGUAGUCCCUGUCUCUUAUAC